UCACAAUUUGGUCAUGAAUGGAGUUACCCCAGUCAAAAAAAUGGUCAUAGAAGACUGUUGGAAUUCCAGGAUGUGUGAGUAUGUAUGCAUAACCCUGAGCAAAAUAGAAUGUCAGAGCUAACGUUUGAAUGACAUGAUGAGUAAUUAUUUUUCUGAAUUUGGUUCAGAUAAUGAAGCACAAAUGAGGACUAGGACAUAGAUGUAAUUGCUAAUACUACGUCCACUUAGGUGCAUAAGAUAGUUUGAAAGGUCAUCAAAAACAAAAUCUUCUGGCUUCGAUAUACAUUCAUACCCAGUAGGCAACGUAAGUGAAAAAAAGAGGAUAAACCAAACACAAAGGUUAACAUAGGACAUUUGAUUGUAGGCUAUCCAAUGCAAGCACUUUCUCAGUGAAUUUUACCAACUCCUCAGGUCAGUGAUGGCUUUUGAAAAGUAGUACACAAAAUAACAGGUAAUUAAGAAGCACCCAUACCGCAUGGAACAUAGAUUGACAAAUAAUUAGAAUCAGCACAAAAUGGAUAUCCAGGAGCCUUGCCCAAAAGCCCCAUUACUAAUUUGGAUAGACAGCUAGUCAUUAGAAAAGAGUUGUGAAGUCACCAGUUCAGUUAAACAAUGACGAUGCAAAUCAUUUAAUUUAUGCCAACAAGCUUAAUAUAGAAAAUAACUCAGACAUACCUCCAUAAUAUGAUUUGAAGGGA
rnacentral:misc_RNA from 1 species